rnacentral:lncRNA from 1 species
AUGUCCCAAAUCCCAACAAGGACCAAAUCCCAAAAAGGAACAAAUCUCCCAAAUCCCAACAAGGACCAGAACAUCCCAAAUCCCAAAAAGGACCGAAUCCCAAAAAGGACCAGAAUCUCCCAAAAAGGACCAAAUCUCCCAAAUCCCAAAAAGGACCGAAUAUCCCAAAUCCCAAAAAGGACCGAAUGUCCCAAAUCCCAAAAAGGACCAAAUCCCAAAAAGGACCGAAUCCCAAAAAGGACAGAAUUUUCCAAAUCCCAAAAAGGACCAGAAUGUCCCAAAUCCCAAAAGGACCAAAUCUCCCAAAUCCCAAAAGGACCAAAUAUUCCAAAUCCCAACAAGGACCAAAGAUCCCAAAUCCCAAAAAGGACCGAAUCCCAAAAAGGACCAAAUAUCCCGAAUCCCAAAAAGGAUCGAAUCCCAAAAAGGACCGAAUCUCCCAAAUCCCAAAAAGGACCGGAUCCCAAAAAGGACCGGACCCCAAGCAGCCCCCAGUCCCUUUAAAAGCACCACACGGGCCCCUAAAAAACCCCAAAUCCUCUCAAUCCGCCCCACAUGAGAGCACAGUGGGGCACCGAUGGGGACAGCGGGGGACAACAGGUGACAAUGGGGACAAUGGGGGACAAU